UACAUUAUUGAAAUAAACCUGAUGAGUUGCUGCUGGCCCUUUAGAAGAGCAUGUGCACACUUAUCAUCUUUAUAUCUCCACCUGUGAACCCUUUGUAGACCUGAAUAUCUUUCUGAAAAUGCCUCUGGCAAUUUUUUUUUUCCGGUUUGAGGAUUGAUUUUUCUUUCCUUACAUUUUCAGGUCUAUGUUUUUCAUAUACUCCAUGUAUGUUCAUAGAAUGUAAUAAGGUGGGCCCUUUGAGCCCUAUAAACUUAUACAACUUUCAGCAACGGAUCUCUUGGCUCUCGCAUCGAUGAAGAACGCAGCGAAAUGCGAUAAGUAAUGUGAAUUGCAGAAUUCAGUGAAUCAUCGAAUCUUUGAACGCAUCUUGCGCUCCUUGGUAUUCCGAGGAGCAUGCCUGUUUGAGUGUCAUUAAUAUAUCAACCUCUCCAGCUUUUGCUUGGUUGAGUGUUGGAUAUGGGGGGUUUUCCUUUGCUGGACUCUUUUGAGGUCAGCUCCCCUAAAAUGCAUUAGUGAAACGAUUUGUUUGACUGCUCAUUGGUGUGAUAACUAUCUACGCUAUUGACAGUGAAGCACAGUUUAGCUUCUAACAGUCCAUUGACUUGGACAAAGAAAUCUUUUAUUAAUGUGACCUCAAAUCAG
rnacentral:rRNA from 1 species